GUGAGUCUCAAUAUUGAGAUGUUUCACAUAAUUCGUUUGAUAUGUGGCCCUAUGUUUUUAGACCAGAGAGUGGCGCUUCUUUCUAUGAUACUCAAGUGUCGUUGUAUUCCCAAGGAAAAAUCUAAUGGUUACUUGAGCCCUUUCAUUUUGAGCCCUUAAUGUAUUUGUCUCUCUUUGUUGUAUAAAUUUCCUUUGGGAUUUCAAAACUCUUUUCGCCCUUUUCACGAACUGUAACUUUUCUUUCUUCUUCACGCGUCAAUUUUCUUCUUUA
rnacentral:lncRNA from 1 species